UGGGGGAUAUUGCACAAUGGGCGAAAGCCUGAUGCAGCGACGCCGCGUGGGGGAUGAAGGCUUUCGGGUUGUAAACCUCUUUCGCUAUCGAACAAGGCCCGCUUAGGGUGGGUUGAGGGUAGGUGGAGAAGAAGCGCCGGCUAACUACGUGCCAGCAGCCGCGGUAAUACGUAGGGCGCGAGCGUUGUCCGGAAUUAUUGGGCGUAAAGGGCUUGUAGGCGGCUUGUUGCGCCUGCUGUGAAAACGCGGGGCUUAACUUCGGGCGUGCAGUGGGUACGGGCAAGCUUGGGUGUGGGAGGGGUGGCUGGAAUUCCAGGUGGAGCGGUGGAAUGCGCAGGAUUCUGGAGGGAACACGAUGGGCAAAGCAGGUCACUGGGCCAUUACUGACGCUGAGGAGCGAAAGCAUGGGUAGCGAACAGG
rnacentral:rRNA from 1 species